CCGUUUUAGCUCACUCAAGAUAUCACUCAGGUCUAAGCAUUUAAUUAAUUUAUUUACUCGCUAUUAAUCAUCAAUUUUAUUAAUUUAGCCAAUCAAGCGCUAAAAACACAGCUACCACCCCUCCAAUCCAACCCCACCCCUUUGGCAUCGAUGUCACAUUUUACUAUCCCCGCUUUGACACGUGUCACACUAGACUCUUGACAAGAGUACACUCCCUCCAUCUAUCGUGGCAAACAUCCGUUGACCCCCUCCCCCCCCUUCCGGGAGCGGCUGGUCACUUCAAAGUGCCCAUUCAACUCAACGCCUCGGGCAACGCUGUUCGUCUAGCACUAGCCAUUAUCAUAAUAUAAUCUCCCUUGAUGUGCCGAGCUCUGAUAAUCUCCCCUUCAUAAUCCACCUGACCACCUGGGAUGAUUUCCUGGACUUUCAACUCGCGCCUUCGCGCAAUGUCUAUCUCCCGGAAACGCCGUCACGGUCAAGCGAGGAUCUCUUUGUCAAAGACGCCAGAUAGUCUAGACCACCUUUGCACUUAUCUCCCGCCUCUCACCCCCCCCUUUCUAUCCACGUGUAUAUGGACAAACUUCAUCGUCCGAUCUCAUUCACGCUGGAGAGCCCACAGGGAGCACAUCUAUCUCUUGCUUGAGCUCUAGACUAUUUUCAUUCCCUUAUUUCACUUGGAUUGGUGCUUUUAUCUAUAGGCUACAUCCGCCUGAAAUCUUAGCAACCUAAAGCUGAUAGCAGAUUUGCUGGCACCAGAUCUGUAGACAUCAGACCUACUCAUCCUUCAAGAGUCCAAGUAACAACGCUAGCCACAGACUCGUCACUGGCUUGACUGAUUGGUAGACGCAGCUUAGCUCUGCAACCAUACAAGUUGGACUGCAACCGGAGCCUGGAUCUACUACGCCAGCCCACUAGCAGACAGCAUCAGUACCAGCCACACCCGUCUCACCAGUGCAGCACAGGACCAAAAGCUAAGCAACCAGCCUAAUGACACUCAGACCACUUGGUUCUAAUAUCUGAUGAUGAUAGUCUCCUAUAUAUGUAAAUACGCUAGUUUCCAUACUAGCAACUGUACAGCAUUUCACCUUUCAUUAUCUUAUUUUGUAUAAUAAACUGUACAUAAGUUUACACCUAAAUAUAGUAUUUGUUGCCUGCAUUAUAACGCUGUGCUUGUAGUUUAUAUGUGCAAGUAAGGAUUCUCAAACUAUAAAAUCCCCUAGACACCCAAAACGGCCAAUAUC